AUCUAGAUAGGACUCCGAGUCGACGUUGGCUUCGAGGUACUCGACUCCACUCCGAGCUCGCGAUUGGGGAGGCAGAUCGAGUCUUCAGAUCCCGUACGCGCUCGCCGCCGCCGCCACAAUUCCUCCCGCGCGCUAGGCCACUCCCGCGCGAGCCAUCUCCCGCGUGAUGCUUCCCUGCCGAAUCGCCGCGCGCGCGAGCUCCUGCGGAAGCCAACUUCCCCGCCAAAUCGCUGCCGCUGCCUUCAUCUCACAAACGGGAAUACAAAUCGAGCGCCCCCAGACUCCACACCACACCAGUAGGGAAGGACUAGGAACAGAGAAGAAGACGCCCGGUGAUCUCUGUGCCAGGUUCGUCAGCUAGCUAUACAAAGGGAUCCCAGGUCCGAAUUGAGGAUGAACAGAUUAAAGAAGUCUAGUUUCCGGCGAGGCAGUGGUGGCCGUGGAACCUGACCUCCGUCUGUCCAUGGUCCUAUGACCUCUGUUCCGGCUGUAGGUGCACCUGCAACUCAGAGUCAUGCCACUGACGGUGCUGCAGCAGUAGGUGUUGCUGUUCCUGUCAAUACUCCUGCAGUCAGUGCUUCUCCCUUUGGUGGAUGGUGGCCAAUGUCAGCUCCCUUCGGUUCAGUGAUAUACUAUAUGCGAAUGUGGUUCUGGUGAUAUAUAUGAGUAUAUACUAGAAGCAAAUAUUUGCAGCUGAAUGUGUUCCUUGUAUCAAAUGUUAAGUGUAUGGAGGAUCAUACAGUGAUAUGCUACAGCAGAUCAGUUUGUUUUGUGCUGCAUAAUAAAUGUUUUUACGGGUAGAAACUACUUUACAAACUUUGCAUUGAGAGCAUGGUUUCUUAA